GACGGAGGGCGCAAGCGUUGUUCGGAAUUACUGGGCGUAAAGCGCGGGCAGGCGGUCUGCUAAGUCGCUUGUGAAAAUCCGGGGCUCAACCCCGGAAAUGCAUGCGAUACUGACAGGCUGGAGACCGGUAGAGGCUAGCGGAAUUCCUGGUGUAGCGGUGGAAUGCGUAGAUAUCAGGAAGAACACCUGUGGCGAAGGCGGCUAGCUGGGCCGGGUCUGACGCUCAUCCGCGAAAGCGUGGGGAGCAAAC
rnacentral:rRNA from 1 species